AAACAUCCUUCUUUUAGUCUUAGGGUAGAGAGAAUGGCCAUUGAAUCUACGCGGCCUUCGGACUUCCAUAUUUCAAUAACAUUAUUUUUCUUGCUUUGAAACGUCAGCAAUUUGAAAAUGAUGUAUUUUGGCUUACCUACAGGGCUUCGAGCCGCAAAGACAGUGAUGAGUGAUAGCGUGGAAAUGAUAUGCUGCUAGCAUCAGAGACGUCAAAAUGAUGAAAGGUGUCUCAAGAAACAUUGAUAUGUUUACGGAGGCAACUCGGUUUACACACACAAACAGUCACGUACUGAGAAGUGGAACUGUAAACAGGGAAGCUCCAUCAUCCUAUACAGUUGUCAUGUUACAGGGGUCCAGUGAUCUGACGUCUUCACGGCAAGAUGGCCGUCUUCUGGGCGUUUAUCGCCCUGAUGAUGGAGGCAGUAAGGACACCCGAAACGUCGGCAAACUUCUAUGAGACUACACGGCGCUGCAACCCAAAAUGACAGCCAGGAUCUUGGACACUUCUUUCAAGGGCGGCGACUAAAGAACUUGUUUUAGGGUAAAAUACGUUCUACAACCGCGGCAUCUAAGUUGUCUUAACGAGCGCUUUGCUCUUACAACGGCAUCAAGCGUGGACUUGGAGCGAGGGCAAAUGGUUGUUUGUCAGCAAGCAGUGUCGUACUGGCCGUAGCAACAAGAACUCGACCGCAAUAUUCAUAAAUGGAAAUAAUUUUGUCGUAAGAUUGUUUUGCAUUUUGUAAAGCAGGGAAAACUGAAGCUUACAGUAAUUUACAUGUUUUUGUUUACAGCCAUUUUGUCGGUAAUAAAGCUUUGUGAAAACGA